UACGUAGGGUGCGAGCGUUAAUCGGAAUUACUGGGCGUAAAGCGUGCGCAGGCGGUUCGCUAAGACCGAUGUGAAAUCCCCGGGCUUAACCUGGGAACUGCAUUGGAGACUGCAAGGCUAGAAUCUGGCAGAGGGGGGUAGAAUUCCACGUGUAGCAGUGAAAUGCGUAGAGAUGUGGAGGAACACCGAUGGCGAAGGCAGCCCCCUGGGUCAAGAUUGACGCUCAUGCACGAAAGCGUGGGGAGCAAACAGG
rnacentral:rRNA from 1 species